rnacentral:rRNA from 1 species
GAUGAACGCUGGCGGCGUGCCUAAUACAUGCAAGUCGAGCGAACAGACGAGGAGCUUGCUCCUCUGACGUUAGCGGCGGACGGGUGAGUAACACGUGGAUAACCUACCUAUAAGACAGGGGUAACUUCGGGAAACCGGAGCUAAUACCGGAUAACAUGUUGAACCGCAUGGUUCAACAGUGAAAGACGGUCUUGCUGUCACUUAUAGAUGGAUCCGCGCCGCAUUAGCUAGUUGGUAAGGUAACGGCUUACCAAGGCAACGAUGCGUAGCCGACCUGAGAGGGUGAUCGGCCACACUGGAACUGAGACACGGUCCAGACUCCUACGGGAGGCAGCAGUAGGGAAUCUUCCGCAAUGGGCGAAAGCCUGACGGAGCAACGCUGCGUGAGUGAAGAAGGUCUUCGGAUCGUAAAACUCUGUUAUUAGGGAAGAACAAAUGUGUAAGUAACUAUGCACGUCUUGACGGUACCUAAUCAGAAAGCCACGGCUAACUACGUG